AGUGGCGCACGGGUGAGUAACGCGUAGGUAAUCUACCCCUGUGUUCGGGACAACAUCGGGAAACUGGUGCUAAUACCGGAUACGUUUCACGGAUUGCGAAAUAAGUGAAGGAAAGGUGGCGCCCCUUCGGGGGGCUAUUGCACGGGGAUGAGCCUGCGUACCAUUAGCUAGUUGGCAGGGUAAGGGCCUACCAAGGCGACGAUGGUUAGCGGGUCUGAGAGGAUGAUCCGCCACACUGGAACUGAAACACGGUCCAGACUCCUACGGGAGGCAGCAGUGAGGAAUUUUGCACAAUGGGGGAAACCCUGAUGCAGCGACGCCGCGUGAGUGACGAAGGCCUUCGGGUCGUAAAGCUCUGUCAGUAGGGAAGAAAUGUGCGAUGGCUAAUAUCCAUUGUACUUGACGGUACCUACAAAGGAAGCACCGGCUAACUCCGUGCCAGCAGCCGCGGUAAUA
rnacentral:rRNA from 1 species